AAAACUCUUCAACCGUAUGCUAAAACUAAGAAGCUCAAACCAUUGAUUCCAGUUAGCACAGGCAGGGCAUUGCUAGAAAAACAUAUAUCAUCAUCGAUUGGAAAUUACCUAACAGUAACAAUGUCAUCAAUCUUCAGAAUCAUCCGCACACACUCAGUUGCCAGUGUUAUUGCACUUGUGCUCACAAGCAAUGGUUGCACCACAUUCUCCUCCAAGAUAUUUGUUAUCUGUCCCUUUCUGACAUUGAUUCCGGCAUUGAUCUCCCCUUGAGCAUGCCUAUUCCUCAGCUCAGUUACAAUAGCAAUGGGAUUCAGGCCAGCAUUCUCUGCCAAAGUAUAUGGUAUCACCUCAAGUGCCUCAGCAAAAGACCUCACACAGUAUCCUUCCAUCCCAUGUAGCACCUUUGCCCAAGCCCCAAGCUGCCUCGACAAUUCUAUCUCUGGAGCCCCACCUCCAGCAAUUAAAAAUCGCUUAUUCACCAGACAUCUAACCACACAUAAUGCAUCAUGCAAGCUUCGCUCUGCCUCAUCAAUAACCAACUGGUUUGAUCCACGCACAAGCACCGUUGUAGUCCUUCCCAUAUUCUUAAUUCCAGUAAUCUUGACAAUCUUGCUAUCACCAAGUGAAACCUCCUCAACAAGAUCUGCGUGCCCCAGUUUAUCCUCCCUGAAAUGUUCAAUAUUUGCAAUAGGCAA
rnacentral:misc_RNA from 1 species